rnacentral:lncRNA from 1 species
ACCGGGUCCGCGUAUUACAUGUAUGACGUCACACGGGCCUGACAGCUAGCGAAAAGCCGCGAUUAUUAACGGAGUGUGCCGAGGGAAACCGAGGGUACGCGAACCGGGUGAAACCAUCCCCAUACGAGCCUUCUUCCAUAUCAUCCACUAUCAUAAUCGGGGAAAAAUAACGUUAACGCAAACGCAAACAACCACGACGACAUCCUAUUCAAUGUACUUGUUUUAACGUCACUCAUAAACAAUUCGUAAUCUAAAUAACUGCAUUAUUAUUAAUAUUAACAUUAGUAGUAACAAUAAUAACAACAAUAAAAAUAAAACUAACAAUUGUUUAUUUCAAUAAAUAUAUUUUUUUACGUAGGUAAGGAUUUGUCAAAACACGAUCAACAUUACCGGCUGUGUAAUUUCAAUUCGCAAGAUAAUGAUAAAGUAAAUUCUGUUAUUUUUUUUUUUUAUUUCAAGUGACAAGUGUGUACUCGGCUUACAACAAUCCAAAUCCGCGAGAUAAUAUUAAAAACUCAAGGUGAACAGUGGUAAAUAAAUGUCGAGUGUUAAAAAAUAGUGAUAUCGUCGCAUUGCCCUGCAGUAGCUGUUGGCGCAGCUGAGCCAGAGCACACAACUUAGACAUCCUAUGUCGUACAUACACACCUACAUCUAUAUACAUUGAUACAUUGAUACCAACAACCAGUAGGGCUCUAUAUAUAUUGAGGACAACAUAUACAAGUAAAGGCACGAGGUGAAGUGGGUGGUGUUGAGCUAACACGACCCACAGCCCUACAUUUGAGGACAACUAGUGCAAGCUAACCUUACAAUAUUAUAACGUCUCUGCGCACGAUUACAUUGCUUACAUACAUUUUUAUACAUCAGUCAAUUGUGGCAGUAUCCGCUGUGUCCUGCUUUUUUUAUGAAAACAAGUGUCACAAGUGAGUUUUGUAUCCUGAAUUGUCGUC